AAGGGAGGAAAAGAAACUAACAAGGAUUCCCCUAGUAACGGCGAGUGAAGCGGGAAGAGCUCAAAUUUGAAAUCUGGUAGCCUUCGGCUGCCCGAGUUGUAAUCUAGAGAAGUGUUUUCCGUGCCGGCCCAUGUACAAGUCCCUUGGAACAGGGCGUCAUAGAGGGUGAGAAUCCCGUCCUUGACAUGGACCCCCGGUGCUUUGUGAUACACUUUCAACGAGUCGAGUUGUUUGGGAAUGCAGCUCAAAAUGGGUGGUGAAUUCCAUCUAAAGCUAAAUAUUGGCGAGAGACCGAUAGCGAACAAGUACCGUGAGGGAAAGAUGAAAAGCACUUUGGAAAGAGAGUUAAACAGUACGUGAAAUUGUUGAAAGGGAAACGAUUGAAGUCAGUCAUGCUCUUUGGAUUCAGCCGUUCUGCGGUGUAUUUCCAUUGAGUGGGGUCAACAUCAGUUUUGAUCGCUGGAUAAAGGCACUAGGAAGGUAGCACUCUCGGGUGAACUUAUAGCCUAGCGUCAUAUACAGUGAUUGGGACUGAGGAACGCAGCAUGCCUUUAUGGCCGGGAUUCGUCCACGUACAUGCUUAGGAUGUUGACAUAAUGGCUUUAAACGACCCGUCUGAAAACUCA
rnacentral:rRNA from 1 species